UAAGAAACUCCAGCCUAUCUCACUAAAAACCCAAACGUACAUCCAUAUCAGAAAUAAGUCUCCCAUUUUCCUCAACCCACUCUCUCUUUUGCUCUCAGACCCCAUAUCUCUUUAAAAUGAAAAUUAGCUUUCAUUCUUUCUCAUUUUUCUCAAUCCUCGCAGCCAUCUCAUCAUUUCAAACCUCCCAUUGUCUUCUCAGUUUGGCACCCCUCUUCAUACAAAAAGCCAAACAAUAUACAUACCCCGUGUCUCUCGACCCCAUCCAUGGUGGAGCAAAACAUACAUGUUUGAUUCCUCUAUGAACUAGAAGCUGAACACAGCAAAGGAAAGGAGAAAACAAUGAAGAUUGUGCAGAUCCGGGUAUUUCGAAGAAACACUCGGAUCCAUGAUAGAUCCGAGAGAAAGAAUGCUCAAACUGGAGAUCCACUGGACGAAAGGCAGGACACAUCACAAAGGCCAUGAUCUAUCGAUUUGGAAGGUGGAUCACUGAUAGAUCCGUGGGAAGGAAAGUGGAUGGAUAAACAUCAGCUUCAAUGGACAAAAACGGCACAAGCUUCCAAGAGCCCAUAUCGGAGCAUCUGGCAGAUUCCCAGAAAUUGAAGACUGUAGAAAAGUCCCCUACAGAGAAGGAACCCACUGCAAAUUUUUCUCCCUGCGUCUCCUUAAAGUCUGCUCAAGUUCUGGAUCAAAAGGAAGCAGUUUCUGUACUAUUGAACGGGUGCUGACCAUGCACAGAUUAUCUUUGUAAUCUGCACUGUAUUGUUGUAGUCUGUGAAAAAUAAAAUAAAAACGAAAA